AAACUUGGGAGGGAAGUAUCACGUAUUUUACUGUUCUUCUACCCUUUGGAAUUUUCUGUUGCACUUAUAUACUCAGUAUGUAGCUGUUCCAAUUUGUUUCGAAGACAAAGUGAUCUUACAUCUGUUGCUGAGGAAGCUGAGAACACUUUUUAACAACCCUAGAAAUGUGAGAAUUUUGCUGCUACAGAUGCCUGAUGUGGGUCCUAAUGAUAUCCCUGUAUAACAAAGCAGUUACGAAGCCUACAGACUUUGUGCAAAAUAAAAUACAAGCAAGGUGAAUUUUUCUCCUCA